GACGAACGCUGGCGGCGUGCUUAACACAUGCAAGUCGAACGAGAAUCUGUGGAAAGAGGAUUCGUCCAAUUGAAGCAGAGGACAGUGGCGGACGGGUGAGUAACGCGUGAGGAACCUGCCUUUCAGAGGGGGACAACAGUUGGAAACGACUGCUAAUACCGCAUGACACAUCGGAGUCGCAUGGCUCUGAUGUCAAAGAUUUAUCGCUGAAAGAUGGCCUCGCGUCUGAUUAGCUAGUUGGUGAGGUAACGGCCCACCAAGGCGACGAUCAGUAGCCGGACUGAGAGGUUGAACGGCCACAUUGGGACUGAGAUACGGCCCAGACUCCUACGGGAGGCAGCAGUGGGGAAUAUUGGGCAAUGGGCGCAAGCCUGACCCAGCAACGCCGCGUGAAGGAAGAAGGCUUUCGGGUUGUAAACUUCUUUGUCAGGGACGAGUAGAAGACGGUACCUGACGAAUAAGCCACGGCUAACUACGUGCCAGCAGCCGACGG
rnacentral:rRNA from 1 species